GGAGCGCUCGCGGAGGCUUGCGGGUGUGCGCAGAGCGGCGUCGCACGGAGCGGGCAGAGCCGGGGCGCUCAGACGUGGGGCGCUCGGGCGCUCGGGCGGGCGGCUGCGGGCUGGCUCCGGGAGCGUCCUGCGGCUGAGCCUCGUCGCCUGCUGCAAUGAACUCUCCGAGGGAGAGUCGCACGCUGCUCGCGUUUCCUUGCUUGCAUGUUCCUGCUGUUUCAAGCAUUUCUCCAUCUUCCUAUCUGUCUUUCGAUCUUAAUUCUUAUUUGAUCUGCAAUUGUGGCUGACCUAGACUGGUUUCCUCGCAUGACCUCAAACCUUUCGGCAAGUUUUGUGUGAAAAAUUAUUUUAAGAGUUGGAGCUGAGUCUAAUGUGAAAUGAUGGCAACAGGUGACUUAAAAAGAAGCUUACGGAAACUAGAGCAAGUACUUCGCCUGUUAAAUUAUCCUAAAGAGGUGGAUUAUGUUGGUCUGAUAAAGGGAGACACAGCAGCCACGCUGCCCAUCAUCAGCUAUUCUCUGACCUCAUACUCUCCCUAUGUGACAGAGCAUCUCAUGGAAUGCAAUGUCGAGCUCAUAGCGAAGAAUGACCUGCGCUUCACAGAUACUGUCUAUAAGCUUCUUCGUGAUCAAUUUGAUUAUAAACCAAUUUUGUCAAAAAAGCAGUUUAUGCAACAUGGGUUUGCAGAAUGGAAAAUCGAAAUUGCUUGUGAUGUUUUGAAUUGUGUGAUGAAAAAGCACAAGGAAUUGUCUGGUGUUGAUAAGACUUCUUUACAACUAAGAAAGAAAAUCAUUUCUCACUCAGAACCUUCAUCAAGCAAUGAGAAAACACCUGUGGAAACUGUCGGCAUUGAUGUUGCUGGCAGAUGUAUGACUUCAGGAAAGAAGAAAGCGCUGGUGAUCCGCCACCUGUAUAAUGAAAGUGAUGGUAACCUUGCUGACGAAGAGACUGAAAGCUCAGUCACAGAAGACACUGGAGUAUGUGAUGUGUCCGACUUACAGGCUUCUGAAAUAAAGGUUGCUGAACUACAGGUCCCUACAACCAAAGCUGAGGAGGAAGAUAUAAAGAGUAAUCCUGAGAUUACUGCACUGCGAACUAUGCUUGCCGAAUGUCAAGAAAAACUUAGUAAGUUGACUUGGAUAGAGAAAAGGCUAGACUCUUUGGAAGAGACAAUGAAAGGGAAAGUGAUAGUAGAUGAAAAGACCUGGACCAAUCUUCUAAGUCGGAUCACUCUUCUGGAAACUGAAAUGCUUUUGUCUAAAAAGAAUGAAUAUGUGGAGUUUAAUGUAGUGAGUGACAACUAUGCUGCCAGUAGUGACGUAGAUCUGGUGACUCUUGAUGGAAAAGUCAAAGAGGAGAGUCUAGCACAUGUCCCUCCGUCCUCUGGCUAUAGUACAGAGUCGACAAAUUCAACUCCCAGAGCCUCAACUAUUACUUACUGUGGUUUGAACGAUGUCUCAGAGGUAAGAAAAACUGACACCUGCCUAGAUGAUUUCUUUCAGAGGUUAAGAAAACAUUGAUGUUAGUCAUAUAUUAUUAGCAAUGAUAAUGGCAAAGCUGUAAGUCUUAAUCUCAGAAAUUAUGAGCAAAUAGCACUUAAUGAAAUAUUUCAGACUGUUUUACAUGUUCAUGGUCCAUUUUUGAGGAUGAGUUACUUUAAGAAAUCACCUAAAUUUGUUGCUUUUUAAAUUAAAGGAAACAACAAUCCAGAAAAUGGAAAGGAUGAAAAAAAUGUUUGAAGAAACUGCAGAGUUAUUAAAAUGCCCAAGUUACUAAUUAUAGAAUUUUCUGCAUGAGCUUCUGUAGAACUUUGGCUACUGUACAUGUUGUAUAUUUUAAGAACUUUCUAUAUAAUUUUAAUGUACUGUAAUAUUUUUAUUAAGAAUUUGUAUCCAUUUGGUAUGUGAGCUUUUCUAUUCAUUAUUGAAUAAAUACUUUAGUAUUUUUGAGCUAUUCUUAUACUGGUUUACUCUCAUUUUUCUUAGGAAAAACUUACGUUCUAGUCCAUUGCUUUUACAGAAUGAAGUCAUUACAGCAAGCACUGUAUUUUUGUGUUGACAUUUGUUGGCACUGUGCUAAGUAAUAUGUUUUUUAAAGUACAGGCUUGGGGAUCAUAGUUUACAUCCUGUUGGAAGCGUUCCAGCUGGGGCCUCAGAUCGUACCCCAGGGGCUCAGGCGCAUGGUCUUGCCAUCUGUGCUGACGAGUACGUUGCAGUGAAAAGUCAGAAGUGCUCAUUGACAAAUAAAACAAAAACACAGCUAUUUCAUGCUCAAAAAGUGGUAAUAUUAACAUUGAGAAAGUAAGGAUGAAAUUCUCCUUUUGCAGUGAAACGGGCCCGCCGCUCACUGACACGCAGAUGGAGUCACUUCGUGCUCUCGGGCUUUUAAGAGCAGGAGCGCCGACACAGCUGGUGGCAGCCGGUGCUAGAGGAUGCGCAGUGAGGCUUUCCUUUCUGUUUUAGUGACAGCAAAUGGUGAAGAGUUCUGGAGCGAAAAAGCCUUAGAAGAAAGUAAAUAAAGAGACAAAUUCACAUAAAAUUUUUUAUAUAAACAUCUUUUUCUCACUUUGUAAAUAAAAAUACAAUCAUGGGGAAUCAAGAGAAUUGAUUAUUACUGUGAGGAGAAAGCACUUGUCUUUCUUAUAUUGAUCAUUGGGUUAUAUUUUAUUUCAUCUGUUUCUAUAUUCUAGUAUUUCAAAUAUAAAAUAUUUAAGAU